rnacentral:rRNA from 1 species
GAUGAACGCUGGCGGCGCGCCUAACACAUGCAAGUCGAACGAUUAAAGCACCUUCGGGUGUGUAUAAAGUGGCGAACGGCUGAGUAACACGUGGGCAACCUGCCCCUUUCAUUGGGAUAGCCACGGGAAACCGUGGAUAAUACCGAAUACUUCGAGACUUCCGCAUGGAAGACUCGAGAAAGCUCCGGCGGAGGGGGAUGGGCCCGCGGCCUGUUAGCUUGUUGGUGGGGUAACGGCCUACCAAGGCAAUGAUGGGUAGCUGGGUUGAGAGACCGACCAGCGAGAUGGGGCCUGAGACAGGCCCCAGACGCGAAGGGGGGGCAGCGGGGGGAAUCCUGGCACAGGGGGCGAACGCGGGAUGCGGCGGCGCCGGGGGCGGGAAGAAGGCUUUGGGGUUGAAAACCGCUUCCGGCGGGGACGAGGCGAAAGUGACGGUACCGGAAGAAGAAGCCCCGGCUAACUACGUG